rnacentral:rRNA from 1 species
GACGAACGCUGGCGGCGUGCUUAACACAUGCAAGUCGAACGGAAAGGCCCUUCGGGGUACUCGAGUGGCGAACGGGUGAGUAACACGUGGGUGAUCUGCCCUGCACUCUGGGAUAAGCCUGGGAAACUGGGUCUAAUACCGGAUAUGAUCAUACGCCUCAUGGUGUGUGGUGGAAAGCUUUUGCGGUGUGGGAUGGGCCCGCGGCCUAUCAGCUUGUUGGUGGGGUAAUGGGCCUACCAAGGCGACGACGGGUAGCCGGCCUGAGAGGGUGACCGGCCACACUGGGACUGAGAUACGGCCCAGACUCCUACGGGAGGCAGCAGUGGGGAAUAUUGCACAAUGGGCGCAAGCCUGAUGCAGCGACGCCGCGUGGGGGAUGACGGCUCGGUGUAACGUACUUUCAGUACGACGAACGCGUAAGUGACGUAGGUACGAGAAGAAGAC